rnacentral:rRNA from 1 species
GACGAACGCUGGCGGCGUGCUUAACACAUGCAAGUCGAACGGUAAGGCCCUUCGGGGUACACGAGUGGCGAACGGGUGAGUAACACGUGGGUGAUCUGCCCUGCACUUCGGGAUAAGCCUGGGAAACUGGGUCUAAUACCGGAUAGGACCACUGCCUGCAUGGGUGGUGGUGGAAAGCUUUUGCGGUGUGGGAUGGGCCCGCGGCCUAUCAGCUUGUUGGUGGGGGGAUGGGCUACCAAGGCGACGACGGGUAGCCGGCCGGAGCGGGUGACCGGCCACACUGGGACUGAGAUACGGCCCAGACUCCUACGGGAGGCAGCAGUGGGGAAUAUUGCACAAUGGGCGCAAGCCUGAUGCAGCGACGCCGCGUGAGGGAUGACGGCCUUCGGGUUGUAAACCUCUUUCAGAACCGACGAAGCGCAAGUGACGGUAGGUGCAGAAGAAGGACCGGCCAACUACGUGCCAGCCGCCGCGGUAA